rnacentral:lncRNA from 1 species
ACAAGGAAACUAACCUGAGGCAGGACCGUGGCACUGAAGGAGUCUCCCUGGAUGCAGCAAAGGUGGAGACCUUGUCCAAGAAAAAUGCUGGACGGGCCUUUACCCCAAAGAGGAAAGCUGGGUCAUGGAACAAGGAAAUGAAUUACAUCAAGUGAAAAUGCACAUCUGAUGCCCAGUCCAGACCAAGGCAUGUACGCUUCCAGAGGCACGCUAGCAUGCUGGCACCCCUUCAAACUAUUAUUCUUUGCAUAUUUUGUUUGUUCAGCGUGUAUCUAGUUAAAAAAAAAGAGAGAGAGAGAAGAAGAAGAAGAAAUAAAAAAAUGAAAGGGAAAAAAUGCUUUUUGAGAGGAGGAAGGGCACGUCUGUUCCUGCUGACUUCGAAUGAUUGUCAAGUGGCUGGACUCAGAUGUUAGCCGUCUGUCAUUGCUGCUAAUAACAUAUUCAUGUACAAAAACAACAGAGGUAGGUUGAUGCUGGGGAGGAGUGUUUUUUUUUUUUUUAUACUGGAAGACAUCAUCUACUUUGGUCAAAGUAAAACAAUUUUUAUUUCCAGUAAUGAAAGGAGUUGCAUGUGGAAACCUGAGUUACCAGGCACCGUUUUUCUGAUUUAUUAUAAGGAUGUGUUAGCACCAUUUCUUAGAAACUGAUAUUCCAGAGAGAUGCCCAGUCUUUUAUCAGAUAUAUGUAUUGCAAAUAUUUUCUUCAGUCUGUGACUUGACAAACCUCUUAGUACCUUCUGGCCUGAAAGUCUCUAAGACUCUCAGUUCAGGCUUGUAGAUGACUUUAAAGCCAAGUAUGGGAGAGAUUCCAAUCAUUCUCCUUGCAAUAUGGGGUUGGGAUUGUCAUCUCAAUUAACAGACAUUCAAAGCGUGCCUUCUCUGGAUGCUGAGAACACAGAGAUAAAAAAAAGAUGCCGUGCCUCCCCUACAAGAGCUCUCUGUCAAGUGGGGAAUCAGACUUGUUAACAAAUACCAGAGGAGAGACCACAAAGCCUUUUUGCCUUGAGAAGUCCAGGAAAGCCUCACAGAAGAGAACACAUUUAAAAAACAGCUCACCAGCAGAACCUUGAAGAAAAGCCAUUCUUCUAUGAGAAAGUGGCAUUUCAAAAGCCUGGGUGGAGAGAAACGAAAGUUCACAGCCAGGAUGAGAAAACUCACGAUAGAAGGAAAUUGAAUCGUUUGCUCAAGAUUAAAUACUGGCCAAGUUCAGACCAAGCACCUUGUCAACAUGGGCAAAACUUCAAAAUUUUCUUCAGAGUCACGCACUGAGAAACAGUUUAUGGAUAAAGUAAGCUUUAUAAACAAUUCCCCAAAGACAUUGGACUGUGCCUUAAAGAGAAAAAUGAGGAUCAAUGAGGACGGAGACUCUGCACAGGACAUUGAUUACGCAUGCCUGAAGACUGUUAUUUGAAAUCCUUCUGAUGUGUCACUGUUAGGACGACAGUGAUCACUACAUGCUAAUAUUUGUUAAAUGCCAGGAAUUCCUUCAGACACUAUUAGAGAAGGGCAAGGAAGAUUCUCGAGGGCUAAUCAAGCUCUUAGAGAAUUCAGUUAGUAGUGACCAUUUGCAAUACUGCAAUUGCAAUACUGUGCUCUCCAGUGAGCUGACAAGGCCAGCCAAGGCAAAGUGGAGAGGAAGUGGUGCUUUGUGGCAGAGGACCUAGAAUCAGUACCUGGUGUCUCUACCUCCAUGGGCACACGGCCAGUCCUAGGCUAUCACGAAGAAGCAAUGGUACUCAAUGUUCCUUAAGAAACAACAUCCUUAAUGUGAGAAAAUAAAAAGCCAUUGGAAACCUCUACUUGCUCUGAGCAGGCCAUUUUCUAAAAGCAACUUUGGUAUAUAACUUUGUAUAAUUAGGUAUGUUUUGGGGGGUUGUCUUGCCAUUACUUCCUUCAGUCCAUUAAUAUGGAUAAAGCAUCUCUCACCACACCAUCAGCUUAAACUGUUGAAUCCUGCCUAAUAGCCUGAGCCAAGUUAAUGGAUGAAGUCCCUGGAGAAUUUUUCAGGUGAAGGAGAAGCAGGAGGCUGCUACCCAAGAGAAGACAGAGGUGUUAAAGCUGCUUUUUUGUUUUGUGUUUUUACCUCAAUGCAGUAUAAAAUCAACAUUUAAGAUACAGAUAAAAUUCUUUAUAUAAUUAGCUUAGACCGUAAUAUCCUUCUAAUUGUCACUUUUCUAUGAAACCGUCUUUAACCAUUUAUUUGCCUUUAUGGUACUUAAUCACGUUGGCCCACUCCUUACAAAUUUCAGUAAUGAUUCCAAAUCAGUACAGUAAGGAA